rnacentral:ncRNA from 1 species
UCGACCGUGAGGUCGAAUCUGAAGGAAGCUGGAGACAAAUGCACGAGCCAAGGUACACGAACUGGGUUUGAGGCAGGAUUAGUUGGAUGAGUCACCCAUACAUGAUGAAAUGCAAAGUCGCCAAAGGCUAAUCUUGUAGACCCCAGUGGUUGCGGGCAGAAAGAUGACGUU